CCUACGGGGCAGCAGUGGGGAAUAUUGCACAAUGGGGGAAACCCUGAUGUAGCGACGCCGCGUGAGUGAAGAAGUAAUUCGUUGUGUUAAGCUCUAUCAGCAGGGAAGAAAAUGACGGUACCUGAGUAAGAAGACACGGCUAACUACGUGCCAGCAGCCGCGGUAAUACGGAGGGGGAAAGCGUUAUCCGGAGUUACUGGGUGUAAAGGGCGCGUAGACGGCUGUGCAAGUCUGGAGUGAAAGGCGGGGGCUCAACCCCCGGACUGCUCUGGAAACUGUACGGCUGGAGUGCAGGAGAGGUAAGUGGAAUUCCUAGUGUAGCAGUGAAAUGCGUAGAUAUUAGGAGGAACACCAGUGGCGAAGGCGGCUUACUGGACUGUAACUGACGUUGAGGCUCGAAAGCGUGGGGAGCAAACAGGAUUAGAUACCCGAGUAGUC
rnacentral:rRNA from 1 species